rnacentral:rRNA from 1 species
UACGAGAGGUGCAAGCGUUAUUCGGAAUUAUUGGGCGUAAAGGGUGCGUAGACGGUUUGUUUAGUCUGUUGUUAAAUCAUUCGGCUUAACCGAAAAUCAGCAAUGGAAACUGGCAGGCUAGAGUGUGAAAGAGAGAAGUGGAAUUCUUGGAGUAGCGAUAAAAUGCGUAGAUCUCAAGAGGAACACCGAUGGCGAAGGCAGCUUCUUGGUUCACUACUGACGUUGAGGCACGAAAGCGUGGGGGGAGCAAACAGGAUUAGAUACCCUGGUAGUCCACGCCGUAAACGAUAAUCACUAGACGUUAGUCUUGUUUUACAGGAUUAGUGUCGUAGCUAACGCGUUAAGUGAUUCGCCUGGGAAGUACGUUCGCAAGAUUAAAAC